rnacentral:lncRNA from 1 species
GGAGGCAGGGGUUAUAGAAGGUGUUGGGAGAACCGCUACCAUUACAAAGUGUAAAGAAAAGAACAAAGUAAUAUAUAUCAUUCCUGGCACCCCUUUUCCUCAGACCUUUGUUUUUGUACUCAGCUACCUCGCCACCAAAAAGCUGCCACUGAAACUUGUUUGUCUAAUAACGUUCUGAAACUUUCGGACCAUUAGAUAGCCAGGCCCAUUUCCAAACCCUUCUAUUGCUAUUUUCAAAGAAAAACAUGGAGAUGAAGUUGCAGAGAAAAUCCUCUUCAAGCCCAUACCAGAAAAAAAAUCUUAUAUCAUGCAAACACCUAUAUAUGGUUAGAAGGAUGACAGUCAAUAAUCAAACUGAUUUUGGCUUUAUUUUUCUUUACCAAGAAAAUUAGUUUGGUGCAUUUGCUCUGCCUCCUUCCAAUCAUUUCUUUCCACAAUAUUUUUCAUGUCGACCCACAUGCUCAUGAUCCUAAAUGCAAAAAUUCCAUAAUCUACAAAAAUAAGAUGGAGAGCAACAUAAAUCAUUUAUCGAUAAUAUUUACAUAUGCUCAUGUGUAAGCAUUUCCAUUGACAAUAUCAUGUCUCCUGUAUGAAGCAAGGUUUAAGCUCUUCUCGUGCUAAAAAAAUGGAAAAUUUGAAAUUGUAAUGUAUAAUCCCAUACUGUUGAAUGUAAGAAGUAUUUUCCACUCAUUCAUCACUUCUUAUCUUUGGAGGAAUGUUACAUCAAUGAUGUUAUCUCAUGUCAUUUACCCAAAAGCUAGAAUGUGAAAAGAUUUAUCUAGUAAGAGCCACAUAAUACUCCAUUUUGUUUGUUACAAGGUGAACAGCCUCAUCCCUCAUAAUUUAAAUGUAUUAGACCGCUGUUUCAUAAAUGAUGUUUCCCAAUUAUUUUUUAUCAUCACUGGCAAUGAGCAAUGCAUGCUAUUGGCUGCUAGGGAUCACUAUUAAUGGGCCAAAAAAUUUCAACUUAUGCUACUAAAAGAUGAUAAGCUAAUCCAACAUUCGAUGAUCUCCUAUCAUGACCCAAAGUCUUGCUGGAAAGUAACCUAAUGCAAAGCAGGAAGAUAAAUGACUCCGAAGUGGCACCUAUACAAUAAGUGUAAAACAAUGUUGUAACACAUCACGCUCUCUAAUUUGUAAGAACCUGCCCUUUAGUUUCAGACUGCACAAGCCUUGACAACUCUUUUUAUUUUCUAUAGCUCUUUUUCUCAUGCUUAAUCAUCCAGAGAUUUUUCUUUUCCUUCAGGCAUCCAUAUCACCUGGUAUACUUGUCGCCCUUGUGUCAAGGUUGAAUGAAAGAUGGAUUUACAAGCUUGCAUGUGCAUCAAGGUAUUUUAGAAAGUAAUCCUGAAGGAAGAACUGCAUAAGAACAAUAAAAAUUACCUGCACACAUCCUUGUACAUGGAUCCUUCUCUUCUCCAAAGAAAGACUUCAAUGGCUUGCAAACACUUCUUUAGAAUACAUAUCAUCAUGGGGAGGACUUAAUUUGAACCAUGGACAGCUUGAAGGUUGGCAAAGAAGGAAAGAAUACUCAUAAUCGUGUAGAGACAAUACUAUGGGACUCCACAAUUAAAUGAGCAAUUGUUGCAUGAGAGACAGAAAUACUUCAUAAUUAACAGAACGGAAUGGAUCCUUCAUCCAUAAAAUGAUCCAUAUCUUCAGUGAAGCAGAAAUCACAUACCUUCAAUAAAAAUAAAUUUGUCGUAAUAAAGAUCUCAUCAACAACCUUGUGUAGGCAUCAUACAACUACCACUGAAAAUUCAGACAACCUACUCUGUCACCAUCUUAAUUAGGAAAAGAAGCUUGCAACCAAUUUCUUUCUUGUUGAAGCAAUAUAAUUGGAACGCCUGUCAAAUGAGGACAUGUAAACCCAACCCCCAAUAAGUGGAGCAAGGCUGGAUGGUUGUGACUUAUGAUUAUCAUCAAUGCAAAAGAAGAGACAGAAAGGGGUUUUCCUCCUUUCCAUAUGUGUGGUUUUUGACAGAAAGAAGACUCCUUUUGAUUUCUGACCAUAUUUAGAGAUUAAGAAGAAGAUGCCAUGAAUGUUUCAAGUUGAAGUGUUUUUAAUGUGAAUUGCAUCCUUGGUUGCACUAUGAGCAUCUAAUCUUCAAAACUUUGAUAUCUGUGGCAAAAGUCUAUAGUCGCUUAUACUUGCACAGAUGUCAUCUUUGCAGUCACUCCUACCAUGCAAGAGCGUGCUGCUUUAGCUUCUUUUUUCUCUUUCAAGCUACUGCUUUAUCUUGAUAGCAGCUGGAUUGACUAUCAUUAGGCAACUUCACGAUUCAGAAGAAAUGAUCUACAGCUGCAGAUGACUGUUUAACUCCAGAACUUGAAAUUGUCCAUGGAAAUUGAGGGAUAGAAAAUUAGGGAAUAUCAUUUUCAUCCUUACUCAUGCUACUGGUAUGGUGGAUCACUAUCUUAAACAUUCAGAAGUCCUUGUCACGAUGCUCUUUAGGUGGAGCACCGCCUUAUGGAUGAAAAUGGGUGACAUCAGCAGCUCAUGCUCUCAUCAACACCCCAAAAAACUAAAUAUCUAAUCGACUUUCCAAAUUUCCUGUGAAGAUUGCAGAGGUAAUCGAACUCCCUGUUUUCCAGAGGGGAGGACAGAAUUCCCUUUUCUACUGCUAAAACAUUUGAUAUAAUCCCGGUCAAAGUGUUCAUCAUCAUAGCAUUAACAUGAAGCAUACUGAUUAACUGAAACUUUAGUAGAGAGUAAAGAGAGACAUCAUAAAGGAAACUGCCUCCACUUUCUGACAAUUGAUACAAGUCUAGCAAAUAUUUUUACUGGAUUGUAUGGGAACAAUGGCUUAAUGAGUCUCUUAUCAAGGUUGGGCAUCCUAGAAUUUAACGACCAGCUCGAGGGAGCCAUUUUAAUUAAAGGCAUCCAAAUUACAAUUCUUGGACACCAGUAAGUAAAUUUGAUGCACCGCCAUCCUUCUGUCCCAUUCCAAAUCCCUUUGAAGCAAGUUUGUAAUCCACACUGACUGUGAUAAUUUGUGCACAUUAGUUAUACAUUAGUAAUUCAACAACUUGCCAAUUAUGUUUCAAAAGAUGACAUCUUUGGCUCCCUAGAUGACCCACCCAUGUGAUAACAUCUAGUGCUUGCUUUUAACAUUUUGCACCACGUUUGAUAAUGUAGAAUGAGAUUGAUAUAAAUUAAUGUUGGACAUUGCAGGUGGAUAGCUGCAACUUGUCAGAUCAUCACCAUUUUAUAGGCUUCUCCUUAUACUUACCUUGAGCUAUGGCACUUGCCUAGGUGCUUAUGCACUUGGUAGUUUCCAAAGAUGCCCAUCUAUUACAAUUUUUUUAAUAGCUCAAUACAUGACUAAAUAGAAAGAAUAAUAAAAACAAUGCACAGAGAUUUGAUCCUAACCCUCUUUAUCUUCCUUUUCUCCUUUUGCUCCUUUAACUUAUGUCUUUUUAUCUUAUUAUUAAAUAGAAAGAAGGGAUCACACUAUUAAUGACCAGAUGAAAUUGCAUUUCUACAUAAUAAACCAGGUCCUACGUGUUGUUUAAAAAACAACGAAGCAUUCAAAUUGAAAAAGCAUAAGAAAAUUAAAUAAUGUCUUCUGGAAAACCGUCAUAAUCAAGAAAUGCAUCCAUCCAAUCAAGAUCAAUUAUAAAUUCCUUCAAUCAUCACCAAGAAUGCUAGCAAUGCCUCAUGGCAUAAUUAUGUUAAAAAUGAACUAUUAUAAAUAUUUGACAUUUAUCAUCUCAUGAAAACCGAAAUAUAUAGUCGAAGAAUAUAUACCUUUUGCUCCUUCGGUGCUAUAUUGAAGCAAUAGUUGUACAAGUCGUUUACCCUAGAUUAGGAUUCAACGAAAUUACAGAGUUACUUAUGCUAGCGAUCCCCCUACAAGUUUUUAAAUAAACUUAUGCAAGAUUGUGAAAUUAUGGUCCUCUCUUUGUGAUCUUAUUCGGAGACUCGCAGAGACUAAAUCUACAGAGUUUCAAAAUCAAGACUAGACCAACCAAAUCAGCACAAGCAUUCAAGAGAAAGAUAAAAAUCGCAUCAGGAAUUCAAUAUAAUUGCAACCGAGCUUCGAUCUAAAUUUCAAGAAACUCAAAAAAAAAAAAAGCAGAAAAGAAAAUGUGAUCACAGACUCAAUAAUACGUACCACAGAACACCGACUUGAACAGCAUUUAAUUAAGGAUCAGAACCGACCAAGAAAGCGAGAUUGAUCGAAGAAUCAACGUCAAGAAAGGGACUACCUCUAGACUUCAGAUCAAGAGAGAUGUGAGACGAAC